AGCCUUGGAAUCUGACUCAAACAAUAGGUUUUCAUAUUUAUGUGUGAGAUGUGCCUCUUUCAAACCUUGUUACAACUUUGGCACAUUACCCAUCUGAUG
ensembl:snoRNA